rnacentral:ribozyme from 1 species
GCGGCGCGUGCGAUAGACUUACCUCCACGUGGUGCGCCCUGGGCAACGUAUUCUCAUACGGCCAAAAAGUCUAU